rnacentral:rRNA from 1 species
CCUACGGGCGGCAGCAGUGAGGAAUAUUGGUCAAUGGCCGAGAGGCUGAACCAGCCAAGUCGCGUGAGGGAAGACGGCCCUACGGGUUGUAAACCUCUUUUGUCGGGGCGCAAAGCGAGUCACUUGUGACUCAUUGAGAGUCCCCGAAGAAAAAGCAUCGGCUAACUCCGUGCCAGCAGCCGCGGUAAUACGGAGGAUGCGAGCGUUAUCCGGAUUGAUUGGGUAUAAAGGGUGCGCAGGGGGAGGUGCAAGGCAGCGGUCAAAUUGCGGGGCACAACACCGUACUGUCGUUGAAACUGCAUCCCUUGAGUGCGCGAGAAGUAUGCGGAAUGCGGGGUGUAGCGUUGAAA